rnacentral:lncRNA from 1 species
GGUGUGUCUACUGGUUGUGCAGCCAUGGCAAAAGCUAAGGAAGAAGUCAGAGCGUCCUCCAGCUUGGAAGACGAACUCACCUGUUCCAUCUGCCUGUCUCUGUACAAGAACCCCGUGUCACUCUGCUGCGGUCACAGCUUCUGCAAGCAGUGUGUCCAGAAGGUGCUCAGUAACCAGCAGCAGGCCAAGGCCUCCUACUCCUGCCCUCUAUGUAGGGUCGAUCUGGGGCCUAUCCUGGAGCUGCAAAAUAACUUCCAUCUGUGCAGCAUCGUGGAGACAUAUCUGGCCAACAAAGGGAAGAAGGACAAGGGCUUUGCAACGAAGAAAGAAGAGGCAGUUCCCUGUGACUUCUGCCUUGACAAGCCCCAGCCGGCCGUGAAGAUGUGCCUGAGCUGCGAAGCCUCCCUGUGCCAGGCACACCUGGACAAGCACAGCGCCAGGGCCUCACAGAAGGACCACGUCCUGGUGGAGGUGGGCAUGGGUGGCCCCAUUGAGGAGAGGAGGUGCCAGGAGCACGGCAAGGCCUUUGAGUUCUUCUGCCAGAACGAGAGCCUGUUCAUCUGCGCGCUGUGCUCCAUCGCGGGGUGCCACAACGGCCACAAGAUCCUCACUCUGAGGGAGGCCCACAGUAUGAAACUGGAUGACCUCUCUCACACUGUGGAUAGGCUGCUGAGAUACAGAAGUGAUGUAUCUAUCGCCCUUGAGGAGCUUCAGCAAAACAAGAAUCAGAUUGAGACCAAUACGAAAACAGUGACUUCUCUGGUGCAAAAGAAGUUUGAAGAGAUAAAGACAGAGAUAAAUAAGAAAGAGAAGAAGAUCCUCAGUGACAUUCAGUCCAUUGAGAAAUUACAACUAGCAGAAUGUGACAAACUGAGGAAAGAGAUGGAAGAACAGAGAGAUGAGCUUGUGCAGCAUCUGAAGUCCUUGCAGAAGAUAAGAGAACAACCAAACACUUUCUGUCUCUUCAGAGAAUUUAAACUGGUGCAGAAGAGGUACGUUCCAUCUGAAAACACUUGUUUUCUUUGAAAAAAUAGGAUGUGGAUAACUGAGAUCAAACCUACUGCGUGUACCCAUCUGUCCUGGAACCCAGUCUGCAAAGCUGCUCCCUAUUCCAUCUGUACCAGAGGGCACCAUGUCCACACAACUAACAAUGAUGGGGACAUAGCUGCUGACUGUUCCACUGGCCCCUUUAGCUUCAGUUUCUUUAGCUACAUGGCUACUGGAUUCUGGUGAAAACUACUGGCUUUUAUUAUGACAAAAAUGUUUUUGUUGGAGAUGGAGACCAUAAGGGUUCAGGUUACAGGCUGCAAUCCUGUCCCAGCUGUGUAUUUGUGACAUUCUCACACGUAGUUGCAGUGAGCAGCCCUUGGCUGCAGAGAUGAUCGGCUCGGUUUGGGUUCUGUUUGUGGACAAGUAUAAUGACUUGACAGAGCACUUGCCUUUUCCUGCAAGUGAUACAUUUAAUUUAUAACUUACCACUUCCUAACUGACAUCUUGGUGUCUGUUGUAAUUCAACGGCGCAAAACCACACUGUCAGAACAUUAAGUUACUUAUCUACCAAGGAUUCUGUUGCUGCAGUAAACUCCUCAGUCUCAUGAAGGGCUAGCUCUAACAUCUAGCUGGAUUUUAAGAUCUCAUCUCUGUACCUUGCACAAAUUAAAGCUGAGAUUGAACUCAGACGGUAAGGAUAACUUAGAAUCACUGCAUACCUGGGGACUGUGCUGGCAGCAGUGCAUUCCGUUACUCACAGCUCUGAGUGAAUCAAAAUCUAGCCUGUGGGAUCCAAGUUGUUUUCCAGAAGCCUGGAGACCAUUUAAUAUGUCUGGCAUUUUCUUUUAUCACGAUGGUCAUUGUGCUAGAACAGUGACAGCCUGCCUGCAGUAGGUCAAAGCAGCUUCUCACAAAAACACUAUGGCUCCUCCUUUCUCAUUUCAGCAUUUCAAAGAUCCUUUGUGGGCCUGGUAAGUAACAGGUAAUGCCAAAUAAAUUGCUAAUUUUAACAGCUGUGACUUGUUUAACAAAGUGUUGUUUACAUCAUAAUGCACUGUCCUCCUUGCAGAGUCCUUCUUAUUAAAAGAGUUUGUUAAACCUUUAACGCUAAAUGGCUUUCCAUGGUGAAAUGUCUGCUUGCAUCCUAGCAUUCCGAGUCACAAGUUCAGGAUCCGUAAGAAGGACGUGCAGAUGGUGCUGCUGGAUGAGGCCGCUAUCAGCAGCUUCCAGACAAUGAUGGGGGACUGCUUGCUCCAGCUGGACAUGUACCUACAAGGCGUGCAGAGACAAAUCAUUAACCAAUUUAAGUGGGACAGUGAGGACCCAGCUGCUGGUAGCAAUUCAAACAACACAUUUAAGAAGUCACAACAAAAGCCAUGGCCUAAUUUUUACUAACUGCAAUAGAUGGAGGCAGGUGGUACAGUAUAAUACCAACUGAAAGGAUGAAGAUGUGGACAAUGUGAAUCAUAUACAUAUUUCUGGAAGUAAGGGAGAUGCCAAAAAGUUCAGAAGAGAGAGAAAGAAGAUAAAGAUUGUCUAAAAUGUUCUUUAAUUCCAGGUAGCCGCUAAGUGUCUCUGUCUUCCAUAUGAACCUCCUAUUAAAAGCAAUUCUAUAGCAAUGCAAAUUUUGAAAAGAAGUGCCAAAUAUUAACAUGAACAUAAGAAAAUCUCCAACUAUAUCAUCUUGUAGCACUAACGUUAGUUGUGUCCUAUUAAUUGUAGUGACUAGGCUGUCAUUUUAUGGUGGCAUAGCCAAAUAAAGA